UACUUAGUGGCAGACGGGUGAGUAACAUGUGGGUAUCUACCCUUUGGCCUGGAAUAACACGAGGAAACUUGUGCUAAUACCGGAUAAGUCUUCACGGAGAAAGCUUUAUGCACCAUUGGAUGAGCCCGCACUUGAUUAGUUUGUUGGUAGGGUAAUGGCCUACCAAGACUAUGAUCAAUAGCUGAUUUGAGAGGAUGAUCAGCCACAUUGGGACUGAGACACGGCCCAAACUCCUACGGGAGGCAGCAGUGGGGAAUCUUGCACAAUGGAGGAAACUCUGAUGCAGCGAUGCCGCGUGAGUGAAGAAGGCCUUUGGGUUGUAAAGCUCUUUCGUCGGGGAAGAAAAUGACUGUACCCGAAUAAGAAGGUCCGGCUAACUUCGUGCCAGCAGCCGCGGUAAUACGAAGGGACCUAGCGUAGUUCGGAAUUACUGGGCUUAAAGAGUUCGUAGGUGGUUGAAAAAGUUGGUGGUGAAAUCCCAGAGCUUAACUCUGGAACUGCCAUC
rnacentral:rRNA from 1 species